GUUCCUUCAGUGAUGGCUGCGGGGUCGCUCCGUGAGGGCACAGCCGCUGCAGCCCUCGGAACGGCACCUCGGCUCCUUCCCGGCAUAGCAGGGCUCUGGAAAGGUCACAGAAUCACAGAAUAAUUGGGGUUGGAAGGACCUUUGGCGAUCAGCCAGGCAGGGUCACCUGGAGCAGGKGACACAGGAACGCGUCCAGGGAGGAYGAGCAUUCCCAGUUACCUGCUCUGCAUGUGGAUGUCCACAGGGAUGAAUGUCACCGUGGGCUGCUGGCACAGGCUGUGGCUGUUGUGSCCCAGGGGAGGUGGCACUGCCAGCUUGGAGGCUUUGGGUUCCAGCUCCCGCCGCACUCGCAUUCGCCUGCCAAAGCAAGUCAAGAGGUCCAAGGUCUGUGUCUCCAGCCAGGGUGGAAGGUGCCAGAACUGCUCUUACCUGGAGUCCCAGCUCCAUUCCUGCCCYGUGAAUCAGCAGGUUACACCUGACYGAGCCUCUGCUGCAGGAAAGACCCAGCAAAGCCCAGCAAAAUCCAUGGGAACCUACCGGUUUUCAGSCUGGAUCCUACUCUGGUUAGAAAAACGUWURGAAAAUCAAGAGGUCUGGAUAAAAGCCUUUCAGCAAGGGAGAAGAAGUGGACUUUGAUACAGUAAUCACAGRACAUUCUUUGUCCAUGACACAGGGCUGCACUUCCCCCUGUGCACACACACCUGCCUGGGCUGAGAGCCUCUCAUUCACCCUCACUCUCCACACUGCUGGUUAUUUUUGCAUCCCCACAUUAUGGAGCUGGAAAUAUUUCCAUCUAAAGUUCAGCUUUGGGCACGUUUCCAUCCCAAACACCUUGGCAGAUACAGGGGAUAGGUUGUUCUGGCAAGUGGCAGCAAUGCCCCCUUUUCUAAAGCCUUCCUGCUCCCCUGCCCUGCUGAAUUCCCUGCUGAGCUGRGCUGGGUUUGUUUGGGAGGAGAUGGGGAUCAGAGCUCACCUGUCAGCAGCAGCUGGCCACAGGGA